UACGGAGGGUGCAAGCGUUAUCCGGAUUCACUGGGUUUAGAGGGUGCGUAGGAGGGUAGGUAAGUCAGUGGUGAAAUCUUCGAGCUUAACUCGGAAACUGCCGUUGAUACUAUCUAUCUUGAAUACCGUGGAGGUGAGCGGAAUAUGUCAUGUAGCGGUGAAAUGCUUAGAUAUGACAUAGAACACCAAUUGCGAAGGCAGCUUACUACACGAAUAUUGACACUGAGGCACGAAAGCGUGGGGAUCAAACAGG
rnacentral:rRNA from 1 species